rnacentral:tRNA from 1 species
ACCCUAAAAAGUUCUUUAACA